GGGUUGUGAGGUUAAGCGACUAAGCGUACACGGUGGAUGCCCUGGCAGUCAGAGGCGAUGAAGGACGUGCUAAUCUGCGAUAAGCGUCGGUGAGGUGAUAUGAACCGUUAUAACCGGCGAUUUCCGAAUGGGGAAACCCAGUGUGAUUCGUCACACUAUCAUUAACUGAAUCCAUAGGUUAAUGAGGCGAACCGGGGGAACUGAAACAUCUAAGUACCCCGAGGAAAAGAAAUCAACCGAGAUUCCCCCAGUAGCGGCGAGCGAACGGGGAGCAGCCCAGAGCCUGAAUCAGUGUGUGUGUUAGUGGAAGCGUCUGGAAAGGCGCGCGAUACAGGGUGACAGCCCCGUACACAAAAAUGCACAUACUGUGAGCUCGAUGAGUAGGGCGGGACACGUGGUAUCCUGUCUGAAUAUGGGGGGACCAUCCUCCAAGGCUAAAUACUCCUGACUGACCGAUAGUGAACCAGUACCGUGAGGGAAAGGCGAAAAGAACCCCGGCGAGGGGAGUGAAAAAGAACCUGAAACCGUGUACGUACAAGCAGUGGGAGCCUCUUAAUGGGGUGACUGCGUACCUUUUGUAUAAUGGGUCAGCGACUUAUAUUCUGUAGCAAGGUUAACCGAAUAGGGGAGCCGAAGGGAAACCGAGUCUUAACUGGGCGUUAAGUUGCAGGGUAUAGACCCGAAACCCGGUGAUCUAGCCAUGGGCAGGUUGAAGGUUGGGUAACACUAACUGGAGGACCGAACCGACUAAUGUUGAAAAAUUAGCGGAUGACUUGUGGCUGGGGGUGAAAGGCCAAUCAAACCGGGAGAUAGCUGGUUCUCCCCGAAAGCUAUUUAGGUAGCGCCUCGUGAAUUCAUCUCCGGGGGUAGAGCACUGUUUCGGCAAGGGGGUCAUCCCGACUUACCAACCCGAUGCAAACUGCGAAUACCGGAGAAUGUUAUCACGGGAGACACACGGCGGGUGCUAACGUCCGUCGUGAAGAGGGAAACAACCCAGACCGCCAGCUAAGGUCCCAAAGUCAUGGUUAAGUGGGAAACGAUGUGGGAAGGCCCAGACAGCCAGGAUGUUGGCUUAGAAGCAGCCAUCAUUUAAAGAAAGCGUAAUAGCUCACUGGUCGAGUCGGCCUGCGCGGAAGAUGUAACGGGGCUAAACCAUGCACCGAAGCUGCGGCAGCGACGUUUAUGCGUUGUUGGGUAGGGGAGCGUUCUGUAAGCCUGCGAAGGUGUACUGUGAGGUAUGCUGGAGGUAUCAGAAGUGCGAAUGCUGACAUAAGUAACGAUAAAGCGGGUGAAAAGCCCGCUCGCCGGAAGACCAAGGGUUCCUGUCCAACGUUAAUCGGGGCAGGGUGAGUCGACCCCUAAGGCGAGGCCGAAAGGCGUAGUCGAUGGGAAACAGGUUAAUAUUCCUGUACUUGGUGUUACUGCGAAGGGGGGACGGAGAAGGCUAUGUUGGCCGGGCGACGGUUGUCCCGGUUUAAGCGUGUAGGCUGGUUUUCCAGGCAAAUCCGGAAAAUCAAGGCUGAGGCGUGAUGACGAGGCACUACGGUGCUGAAGCAACAAAUGCCCUGCUUCCAGGAAAAGCCUCUAAGCAUCAGGUAACAUUAAAUCGUACCCCAAACCGACACAGGUGGUCAGGUAGAGAAUACCAAGGCGCUUGAGAGAACUCGGGUGAAGGAACUAGGCAAAAUGGUGCCGUAACUUCGGGAGAAGGCACGCUGAUAUGUAGGUGAAGCGACUUGCUCGUGGAGCUGAAAUCAGUCGAAGAUACCAGCUGGCUGCAACUGUUUAUUAAAAACACAGCACUGUGCAAACACGAAAGUGGACGUAUACGGUGUGACGCCUGCCCGGUGCCGGAAGGUUAAUUGAUGGGGUUAGCGGUAACGCGAAGCUCUUGAUCGAAGCCCCGGUAAACGGCGGCCGUAACUAUAACGGUCCUAAGGUAGCGAAAUUCCUUGUCGGGUAAGUUCCGACCUGCACGAAUGGCGUAAUGAUGGCCAGGCUGUCUCCACCCGAGACUCAGUGAAAUUGAACUCGCUGUGAAGAUGCAGUGUACCCGCGGCAAGACGGAAAGACCCCGUGAACCUUUACUAUAGCUUGACACUGAACAUUGAGCCUUGAUGUGUAGGAUAGGUGGGAGGCUUUGAAGUGUGGACGCCAGUCUGCAUGGAGCCGGCCUUGAAAUACCACCCUUUAAUGUUUGAUGUUCUAACGUUGGCCCCUAAUCGGGGUUGCGGACAGUGUCUGGUGGGUAGUUUGACUGGGGCGGUCUCCUCCUAAAGAGUAACGGAGGAGCACGAAGGUUGGCUAAUCCUGGUCGGACAUCAGGAGGUUAGUGCAAUGGCAUAAGCCAGCUUGACUGCGAGCGUGACGGCGCGAGCAGGUGCGAAAGCAGGUCAUAGUGAUCCGGUGGUUCUGAAUGGAAGGGCCAUCGCUCAACGGAUAAAAGGUACUCCGGGGAUAACAGGCUGAUACCGCCCAAGAGUUCAUAUCGACGGCGGUGUUUGGCACCUCGAUGUCGGCUCAUCACAUCCUGGGGCUGAAGUAGGUCCCAAGGGUAUGGCUGUUCGCCAUUUAAAGUGGUACGCGAGCUGGGUUUAGAACGUCGUGAGACAGUUCGGUCCCUAUCUGCCGUGGGCGCUGGAGAACUGAGGGGGGCUGCUCCUAGUACGAGAGGACCGGAGUGGACGCAUCACUGGUGUUCGGGUUGUCAUGCCAAUGGCACUGCCCGGUAGCUAAAUGCGGAAGAGAUAAGUGCUGAAAGCAUCUAAGCACGAAACUUGCCCCGAGAUGAGUUCUCCCUGACCCUUUAAGGGUCCUGAAGGAACGUUGAAGACGACGACGUUGAUAGGCCGGGUGUGUAAGCGCAGCGAUGCGUUGAGCUAACCGGUACUAAUGAACCGUGAGGCUUAACCUUACAACGCCGAAGGUGUUU
rnacentral:rRNA from 1 species